rnacentral:rRNA from 1 species
GAACUGUCAGGUUAAUUUUGUUUUUGUUUUUUUGGUUUAUUAAUUAAAGGAUUAUUUUUGUUAUUAUUUUUAUUGAAAUUAUUUGUUUUAUUAUAGUUAUUAGUACAGUGAUGGAAAAUUUAAGUGUUUAAUUAAGAAUAUUUUAUUUAUAGUACCUUGUGUAUCAGGGUUCACUUAAAAUGUUAAAUGAUUUUUUUUUCUCGAAUUACAAAGAGCUAUAUUUAAAUGGAUUUUAUUGUGGUAAUAAUAUUUAGUAUUUAAAUAUAGUAAUGAAACGUUAUUCGUUUUGUAAUAUAUCUAGUUUUCUAGGAAAUUAAUUUGAUUUAAUGUAUCUUUUACAUUUGUAUUAUUUUUUAUUUUUAUGUAAUGGUAUUUAAAUGGUUAGAGGGAUUAGCUUUUAACUUGAUUUUUAUAGUAAAGUUUAGAUUUAUUAGUAAGUAGGAUUAGAAAUUUUUAUCUUUUUAAGUAUGUUAUAAUUUACUAUUUGUUAUUAUUAUUUAUAUUUUGCUUUAAUUUUUUACUUGAAUAUUAAAUUUAAUAUUAUUUUUUGAGUAAUAAUGGUGUAAUUAGUAUAUGUUAAUAUGUUUUAGUAAAAUUUAAAGUAAAGUAAUUUCAAGGAACUCGGCAAAUUUAUUUUUCACCUGUUUACUAAAAACAUGUCCUUUUGAUUAUAAUAUUAGGUCUGGCCUGCUCAAUGAUUGAUUAAAUAGCCGCAGUAUUUUGACUGUGCGAAGGUAGCAUAAUCAUUAGUUUUUUAAUUGGAAGCUGGAAUGAAUGGUUGGAUGAGAAAAUUACUGUCUCGGUUUUAUUUUUGUAGAAUUUUAUUUUUGAGUUAAAAAGCUCAAAUUUUUUAAAGGGACGAGAAGACCCUAUAGAGUUUUAUACUAUUAUAUUAAAUUUAUUGAUGAUUAUGAAUUUAAUUUUUUUGUGUAGUAUUUUGUUGGGGUGACACAAAAAUUAGGUUAACUUUUUAUGUUUAAAUCAUUGAUUAAUGAGUAUUUGAUCUUAUAUUAGGGAUUAUAAGAUUAAAUUACCUUAGGGAUAACAGCGUUAUUCUCUUGGAGAGUUCUUAUCGAUUAGAGAGAUUGCGACCUCGAUGUUGGAUUAAAGUUAAUUCUUGAUGAAGAAGUUAAGAUAUUAGGUCUGUUCGACUUUUAAAACUUUACAUGAUCUGAGUUUAAACCGGCGUGAGCCAGGUUGGUUUCUAUCUUUUAAUUAGAGAAUAUUUUAGUACGAAAGGACCAGAUAUUCGAAUUUAAUUUUAUUUUUUGAAUAAAUUUG